AUCCGUACAUUUCACUAAUUCAUUUUAGGACAUGGAUAUCUAAAAUUCAAGUAGGCCAAACCUCACAAAAUAGUGGGGAAGGAAAUGUCAGCCAUUGAAACCUUCUUGGGCUCACCAUAGUCUUUACAUACCAUCAACCUAUUCAUAAGGUGAUUCCGAUCAGGAUGUAGAAAGAAUACAGAAUGUUAGGUGAUUUCGAUUAGGAUGUAGAAAGAAUACAGAAUGUCAGUCUGAUCCAGAACUUCUAUGACACCUAAAAAGAUAAGGCUUCAGCAGUGUGUAUUUCUAUCUUCAUUAUAUCAUGAGGUGUGGCUUACCUGAGCUUUGGAUCUUCCUGGUAUUUGGGCUCAUGUCCUAAAAUGAGCUAUCAAAAUGGAUGAGUAGAUUAAAAAAUAAAAAAAUAGAAA